rnacentral:rRNA from 1 species
CCUCGGGGCGCAGCAGUGAGGAAUAUUGGUCAAUGGCCGGAAGGCUGAACCAGCCAAGCCGCGUGAAGGACGAAGGUGCCAAGCAUUGUAAACCUCUUUUGUCAAGGGACAAAAUCAGGCUCGAGAGCCUGACCGAGGGUACUUGAAGAAAAAGCAUCGGCUAACUCCGUGCCAGCAGCCGCGGUAAUACGGAGGAUGCGAGCGUUAUCCGGAUUUAUUGGGUUUAAAGGGUGCGUAUGCGGACUGUUAAGUCAGCGGUAAAAUUGCGGGGCUCAACCCCGUCGAGCCGUUGAAACUGGCAGACU